CAGCCGCCGCGGUAACACCAGCCCCUCGAGUGGUGGGGACUAUUAUUUGGCCUAAAGCGUCCGUAGCCGGCUGCAGCCGUCACCCGUUAAAUCCAGCGUCUCAAGCGUUGGACUGCGGGUGAUACCCUGCAGCUUGAGGGUGGGACAGGUUAGCGGUAUUCCCGGGGUAGGGGCGAAAUCCUUUGAUCCCGGGAGGACCACCAGUGGCGAAGGCUACUGACUAGAACACGCCUGACGGUCAGGGACGAAAGCUGGGGUAGCGAACCGGAUUAGAUACCCGGGUAGUCCCAGCUGUAAACGAUGCACGCUAGGUGUUGGGUCGGCCACGCGCCGCCCCAGUGCCGCAGGGAAGCCGUUAAGCGUGCCGCCUGGGGAGUACGGCCGCAAGGCUGAAACUUAAAGGAAUUGGCGGGGGAGCAC
rnacentral:rRNA from 1 species